GCAUUGCUGGUGUAAUUGUAACACACAUGUUUUCAUAAUGCUGGAACACUGGUUCGAGUCCAGGGCAGUGUA
rfam:Strongylocentrotus purpuratus Contig66723_fixed, whole genome shotgun sequence.